CUGGCGGCGUGCCUAACACAUGCAAGUCGAACGAGAAAGUGGAGCAAUCCAUGAGUAAAGUGGCGACCGGGUGAGUAACACGCGACCAAUCUGCCCUUGAGUGGGGGAUAACCUCGGGAAACCGGGGCUAAUACCGCAUAACAUCUUCAGGUCGGAAGAGCUGAAGAUCAAAGGAGCAAUUCGCUUAAGGAGGAGGUCGCGGCUGAUUAGCUAGUUGGCGGGGUAAUGGCCCACCAAGGCGAAGAUCGGUAGCCGGCCUGAGAGGGCGCACGGCCACACUGGAACUGAAACACGGUCCAGACUCCUACGGGAGGCAGCAGUGGGGAAUUUUGCGCAAUGGGGGAAACCCUGACGCAGCAACGCCGCGUGGAGGAUGAAGUCCCUUGGGACGUAAACUCCUUUCGACCGGGAAGAUAAUGACGGUACCGGUGGAAGAAGCCCCGGCUAACUUCGUGCCAGCAGCCGCGGUAAUACGAGGGGGGCGAGCGUNGUUCGGAAUUAUUGGGCGUAAAGGGCGCGUAGGCGGUGCGGUAAGUCACCUGUGAAACCUCCGGGCUUAACUCGGAGCCUGCAGGCGAAACUGCCGUGCUGG
rnacentral:rRNA from 1 species